AUGCUUUCUGCAGCAGCACAUACACUAAAAUUGGAAUGAUACGGAGGAGAUGAGCCCGGCUCCUGCGCAGGGAUGACACACAGAUGUACGAAACCUUCCAUAUUUUU